GACGUCAAGGGGCGGGGUCCUGGCCGUGAAUUGGGGCGGCAUGGCGCCGUCCGGCCCUUUUCGCUCCGGGAUGCGGCGGAGUUGGGCUUUGAGGCAGCGCGUUUCGGACGCUCGGUUCCCCGGGAGGCGGUGGCUGGUAGCUGGCCUGGGGAACCAUGGGAUGCCUGACACACGGCACAGCGUGGGUAUGGCGGUGCUGGGGCAAAUAGCGAGGCGACUGGGAGUGGCCGAGAGCUGGGCUCGCGACUCUCGCUGCGCUGCCGACCUUGCCCUGGCCCCGUUCGGGGAUGCCCAGUUGGUAUUGCUCCGGCCACGGCGCCUCAUGAACGUCAAUGGGCGCAGCGUGGCCCAAGCCGCGGAGCUGUUUGGGCUGGCUGCGGAGGAGAUCUAUCUGGUGCAUGAUGAACUUGACAAGCCCCUGGGGAAGCUGGCUCUGAAGCUGGGGGGCAGCGCAAGAGGCCACAAUGGAGUCCGGUCCUGCAUUAGCUGUCUGAACUCCAGUGCAAUGCCGAGGCUGCGGGUGGGCAUUGGGCGCCCCACACACUCUAGUAUGAUACAGGCCCACGUCCUGGGCUGCUUUUCCCCUGAGGAGCAGGAGCUACUGUCUCCGUUGCUGGAUCAGGCCACUGACCUGCUUCUGGACCACAUCCGUGCUCGAAGCCGGGAGCCAUCGUCUGGCCUCUGACACCAGUGGACUUAUCUACCUGUUUGACUGCCUGCCGGUACCCUGAAGCCCAGGCACAGCCACAGAACUGCCAUGACACAUGUGGCAUUCUGGUGACAGACAGGACACAGUGGCUGGCUGACGUCUUCCAGGAGGAGUGUUGUGAAACAGGGCAUCACCCCCCGAACCUCAGCUUCCUCGCCUGUAAAGUGGCAGGGACCAGCUAACACAGGCCCAGGAGAGGCCUGGCGUGAUUGCGAGACUGUCUUCACUGGUCUGCCUCCACGGCGAGUCUUGUCGGAGCUGGUGGGAUGUGCUGCAGACUGUCCUCCGAGCCUACUGCUGCCAUCUUCGUGAGUGGGCCCGCUUGCAAAGACUAUUUCAGCCGAGCUCAUUGACUGCUGACCCUCCCUCACAGGAGAGGAUGGGAGGGCCACUGGACCCUCCUGUGCAUCCAGCCACCCCUCCCAAGCAGCCAUAUACAAUCCUGCCCUAACUGCACAUGACCUCAGGAAGGGGCUAGUAUACCCAGGUUGGGGAAACUAGGCAAGGGGCUCCAUCUGUGUAGCCAUGGGGAAGUCAUCCCUCCCAUUUCCUGUGAGAUGGCUUUGUUUCCCCAUGCUCCCACUUGUGACCCCUCACUCAGGCUCUGUGAGUACACUCAAUAAACUCAAUGGGUCCCUGGGGGGACCUGUGGUGGGAUCAAACUUUGACUUGUCAUUGGGACCUUAGAGAAGUGGGUAGUGUUGCCUAGGAUGCUCCCCACCACCACCCUGGGCAAAAAUUCUUGGUACAUGUGCAAGAUCUACAAAGUAGCCUUUGUUAUGAUUUAUUGCACAAGGGGACCCUGAGGGCAUCCUGCACGUUCAGGGAAACAUGCUGGCAUGCGGGGCAGAUGCAGCAGCCGUCUGGCGGGUGACCCAUUCCAUGCGGGCAUGGCGGUGGGGCAGCAGGUGGACAUUCACAACCCAGAGGCUGCAUCCGCGUGGAAAUGGUUUAUUAUAAUAGAGAGACAAAGAGAAGGAAGGAGAGAGAGAGAGAGAAGGAAAGAGAGAAGGAGGGGGUCGAGGGGUGCACACCCCAUGGGAGUGGAGGGGGAGGAGAGAGAAAGGGGUGGAGUUUUUCAUUAAAGAGACUUUUAUGUCAGGACACAGGGUGGCGCCAAGGGGCGGGACCAAAAUGUUAACAGCCUUGAGUUGGUACAUUCCUACAUACAGUGAAGGUGUCAUUUCCUGUUACCCAGGCAGGAUAACGUACAGAGAUUUAUUUUUGUGUAUGUGGAUAUUUUGCCUGCAUGUCUAUGUGCAGUGCCCAUGGAGGCCAGAAGAGGGAGUCGGAUCCUUGGGAACUGGAUUCCAGGAGGUUGUGACUCACCCUGUGAGUGCUAGGAAUCAAACCCCAGUCCUCUGAAUAGUAGGUGCUCUUACCAGUCCUCUGAAUAGUAGGUGCUCUUACCUGCGGAGCAGUCUUCCCAGCACUAAUUAGCUGCUUUUCCUUGUGUUUUGUGGUGUUUCAAUGAAGUCUAAGGCCUCACACACCAGGUAACUGUUCUGCCUGGCUCCAGAUCCUUUUUUUUAAAUUUUCUCUUUCAUUUUACAUACCAACCCCAGUUCCUCUCUCUUCUUCUCUUGCCUCCCCCUCCUCCCCUAGACCCAACUUAAAGUUCUUAUCUUUUAGUCUUGAAACAGGGUUUCGCUAAGGCUGACCUUGAACUUCUCUGUAGUCUAGGCAGCCCUAGAAUUCCUAGAAUUAAAACUUUACUGUUUUCUCCGCUUCUUAACCAGCUGGGACCACAAGCCUGUGUCCCUAGGGCUGGCUUAUUCAGCUGCUUAUGGAGGUCAAGGGACCUAGCACUUCGCAGCUGUUGGUUGGAGCAUGUGAGAAAGGAGUCUGCUGUGAGAAGUUGAGGCAGGGAGAGACCAGGCUUGACUACAGAACAGCCCUCCGGCGCGAACCACAGUAGCCUCGACAACCCGGUCAUUUCCCUCAGUCUUUGCCAGGACUGCUACACUGAGGGCUGAGCUCCCAGCACAUGACUGUCCAGGGACCAGCCAUAUCCAAACCUCAGCAGGAGAGCAUUUCAUGAGCCCCAUGCCUCUGUGCCCUGUGAGUGGUCAGUUUCUCCAUGUUGGUCUGGUGUCUGCUCCUCUCUGGGCUAACCUCAUAGCAGAUUCCCCAGGUCACAGGACACCCAGCUUCCAAACUGGAGGAGCUCUUUCUACAUGUGGGCUGGGGCAGGCCAAUGAUACUGAUGGAGGGACCGACGUCUCAGGGCUCUAAAUACACCAUGACUACAUACAGAGUCCUGCAGUGUCUGAGGCCAAGGCAUUGUAGAAAGGAACAGGGUGAAAGGCAGCUCGCCUCAUGUCUAGGCAGGUCCUUAUUUACUGUUAUUUAUUCAUUUGAGAGAGUGUCUCACUAUGCAGCCUUGGCUGGACCUGGAACUCAUUAUGUAGACCUGGGUGGCUGAACUCAAAGAGAUCCCCCUGCCUCUGCCUCCCAAAUGUUGGAGAUUAAAGGUGAGUGUUAGCAUGCUUGUCCACUGAGGCAGCAUUUUUUUGCUGCCCAAGGCUAGAGACAGGUCCGGAUGUGAUGUGAUGCAAAUCGUAGUCCCGCAGCUGUGGGAUGGGCAGUCAGACUGGGCACCACGAGUGAGCGCUGAUGUCUUUAUUAGACUCCAAUGCUGCAGUACAGGACGGUACAGAGUGGUACACGGUUGUGCUUCCGUACUCGAGACACUGAGAUUCGAGAAUUUCAAGUUAACAAGUUUCAAGACAGACUAGCUUUUUUUUUUUUUUUAAAUAUCCUUUUGAGAAAUUAUUUAUAUAAA